rnacentral:rRNA from 1 species
UACGUAGGGUGCAAGCGUUAAUCGGAAUUACUGGGCGUAAAGCGUGCGCAGGCGGCCUUGCAAGACAGAUGUGAAAUCCCCGGGCUUAACCUGGGAACUGCAUUUGUGACUGCAUGGCUGGAGUGCGGCAGAGGGGGAUGGAAUUCCGCGUGUAGCAGUGAAAUGCGUAGAUAUGCGGAGGAACACCGAUGGCGAAGGCAAUCCCCUGGGCCUGCACUGACGCUCAUGCACGAAA